rnacentral:rRNA from 1 species
UAAUCAGCAGAGUGUGAAAACUCCCUAACCCACUGUGAACCCAUACCUAUAUAUGCCUCGGCAGGCUCUGUAAAGAAACUGCCAAAGGAACCUAAACUCUUGUCUUUACCUAGUCUUCUGAGUGAUUUUAUAUAAAUAUAUGAAAACUUUUAGCAACGAUCUCUUGGCUCUAGAUCGAUGAAGACGCAGCAAUGCGAUAAGUAAUGCGAUUGCAGAUUUUAGUGAGUCAUCGAGUUUUUGAACGCAUAUUGCGCCUGCUAGCUAUUCUAGCAGGCAUGCCUGUCCGAACGUCAUUUACAGCACUAAAGACGCUAUAUGGUCUUUCUGUUGGAGGCUGGCUCCUAGCAGCCACCUCUUAAAUUCAGUAGCGGCGGUUGCUUUUCAUUUCCCCUGUAAAGUAGAUUUACUUGCAACGUUGGAAGACUAGCAACCCCCUAUAAACAACCUUUCUAGUUAGUUGACUUCGGAUCAGGUAGGAAUACCCGCUGAACUUAAGCAUAUCAAUAAGCGGAGG